CUACGGGAGGCAGCAGUGGGGAAUAUUGCACAAUGGGGGAAACCCUGAUGCAGCAACGCCGCGUGAGUGAUGAAGGUUUUCGGAUCGUAAAACUCUGUCUUUGGGGACGAUAAUGACGGUACCCAAGGAGGAAGCCACGGCUAACUACGUGCCAGCAGCCGCGGUAAUGAGUAU
rnacentral:rRNA from 1 species